GGUAUGUGGACCUAGGAUCUAGACAAGCUCGGGCCAUGAGUUGGUAUGUGGACCUAGGUUUGGGAACAAGUUAGGCCUUGAGUUGGUAUGUAGACCUAGGAUCGGGAACAAGUUAGGCCUUGAGUUGGUAUGUGGACUUAGGAUCGAGAACAAGUUAGGCCAUGAGUUGGUAUGUGGACCUAGGAUCUAGACAAGCUCAGGCCAUGAGUUGGUAUGUGGACCUAGGAUUGAGAACAAGUUAGGCCAUGAGUUGGUAUGUAGACCUAGGAUCUAGACAAGCUCGGCCAUGAGUUGGUAUGUGGACCUAGGUUUGGGAACAAGUUAGGCCUUGAGUUGGUAUGUGGACCUAGGAUCGAGAACAAGUUAGGCCUUGAGUUGGUAUGUGGACUUAAGAUCGAGAACA